rnacentral:lncRNA from 1 species
GCGCGACCCCGUCUCCAGGCGCCAUGGCCAGAGGCCUCCAGUCCCCGAUUCUGGCCCGCGCUGAGUGCCAGGGGCGGCAGGGGGCACCGUUGGGGGUUCUCCAGUGGGAGGAACGUGCUCUGUGAGGUCAGCGCGCCGCGGCCCGGGUCACAAUGCUGCCCUCCUCGACGCCCGGGCCCGGGCACGCCACAGAGACCUGCCCGGCUCCGCCUGGACCGGAGCGUUCUCCCGCGGCCAGGGCUCCGGCAGCUGCUUCUAGCCUGGGACCGGUCUCAACCGCCGGGAGAGCGCCCCGGGGCUUGGACAUGAGCGCCCAGGAGCCCCCGCAGGGUCGGAGAUUCCCCAUUGAGGCCGGAGACUCCCGUGGCCUUGCCGCCGCCCCCGAGUCCCAGGACAGCCCGGAGGCGGUAGCGACGGAGCACAACCCGGUCAGGCCGCUUCGUCGCUGCCCUGGAUGCCACUGCCUGACGCUGCUGCACGUGCCCAUCGACGUCUACCUCGCCAUGGGCGGGAGCCCCCGGGCCCGCGCCACGUGAGUGCGCCUGCUCCCUGCGGCUCCGCGGGAGCUGGGCGGGAACGAGGCCCCCAGCGGGCCACCACGCUGAGGUCGCAUGCGCCGAGCACGAGACAAUGAUGCACAUUUUAAAAUAAAAGAAUGAUGCACAUUUUAAUAAAGCACAGCACAAACUGUUCUUUCCA